UACACCGCUGAAAUUAAGCAUAUCAAUAAGCGGUGGAAAAGAAACUAACCAGGAUUCCCUUAGUAACGGCGAGUGAACAGGGAUUAGCCCAGCACCGAAGUCUGCGUCUGUUUGGGCGUUGGACAAUGUGGUGUUUAGGUUGGUGUUUUCAAAUGUUGCUCUGUUUAAAGUCCAUUCUUGAAUAUGGCUACUAGUUUGGCCCAGAGAGGGUGAAAGGCCCGUGUGGAUAGAGCGAUGUUUGUCUGCAUUAACUAUGGAGUCGGGUUGUUUGAGAAUGCAGCCCAAAGUUGGUGGUAAACUCCAUCUAAGGCUAAAUACUGGCACGAGUCCGAUAGCGAACAAGUACCGUGAGGGAAAGUUGAAAAGUACUCUGAAGAGAGAGUUAACAGUGCGUGAAACCGCUUAGAAGCAAACGGGUGUAGUCAAGCUGCAAGCUGUAAGAAAUAGGUGGGCCAGGAUGGCGUGAGUCUGAGCAUCUUGAGCUGGUGGUUAAGUCCGAUUUUAUGUCGGGUUCAGCCCGCAAGGGUUGGAUUUGCGAAGCGCUAUUUGUUGCUGCAAGCUUGGUCACUGGUUGCUCUGCUGGCCCUCUCACUUUCUUAUAGCGUAUGUCACGACCGUCGUUGCUGUCGGUCUGCUCCAUUUAAACCGUUUCGUGUGUGGUUUUCCGCUACAUGCGUUAUGGGGGCUGUCGGCUGGUUCGGCUUCUGUCGGAUCAGUUCAAUUGCUGAGUGGAGUGGUACCUUUAACUGUGCAGUGCGGCGGGGCUGGCGGUGCAUUGUUGUUGGGCGUGCUUGUGUGUCGGCGUAGUUGGCGUAUGACUACUGGUUGCUAUUAUUAAUGGCCCUGUGGUUGCCCGGCUGCGGUUUGACAUGCGGUUGCGUCUGAUCAAUCUUUGCGUUGUGCCUAUAGUAUGGGCCAGUUUAAACCCCCA
rnacentral:rRNA from 1 species